GUGGGGAAUAUUGGACAAUGGGCGAAAGCCUGAUCCAGCCAUGCCGCGUGUGUGAAGAAGGUCUUCGGAUUGUAAAGCACUUUAAGUUGGGAGGAAGGGCAGUAAGUUAAUACCUUGCUGUUUUGACGUUACCGACAGAAUAAGCAUCGGCUAACUUCGUGCCAGCAGCCGCGGUAAUACGAAGGGUGCAAGCGUUAAUCGGAAUUACUGGGCGUAAAGCGCGCGUAGGUGGUUUUGUAAGUUGGAGGUGAAAUCCCCGGGCUCAACCUGGGAACUGCCUCCAAAACUGCAUGACUAGAGUACGGUAGAGGGUAGUGGAAUUUCCUGUGUAGCGGUGAAAUGCGUAGAUAUAGGAAGGAACACCAGUGGCGAAGGCGACUACCUGGACUGAUACUGACACUGAGGUGCGAAAGCGUGGGGAGCAAACAGGAUUAGAUACCCCGGUAGUCC
rnacentral:rRNA from 1 species